UCUCAGCGUAACUGCAGCCGCGGGGGA
rnacentral:sRNA from 1 species